AGCCACACGGCCGCCAUAUUGCUACUCGCAAGAAACACUUCUCGGACAAUGACUUAUGUGAGAACUUGUGAGUUGUUAAGUCUGUUGUUAGUUUGUUACCCACUCACACUAAAUGCAAGGUUUGUCUUCGCACAACAAGUGUGCUUGAGCUUAGUCAUAAGGACUCGGGUAUGAUAAUUUUUAAAAAUUCUGUCGAUAUCAUACCAUACCUGAGUCAUAACGGCUUUACAUAGGGGGCCGUGGGGGAUAUGUAAACAAACAACCGCGACUAGACUACUAAAUCAUUUGCGAAUGCUUGCAAAUAUAUUUAAAAAAAAUGCUUUUUUGUGGUUUUUUUUUUGUUUACCCGAAUUUCAAAUGAACCCCCAUAUGGAGACAAUGUUUAUAUAUUAUUACAUAUUCCUGUGUUUUUUUGUUCAAAUAUAUUUCUAUAUCAGAAAAGAGGUUAUUUCUAUUUCAUAACACAAAAAAAAUCAGCAAAAUGUUAAAUGAUUUUAAAACUUGUCCAAAGUCACUCUCUUUUAUGCUUCAUAUUUUGUACAGACGAGAGCAUAGUGAAUUGUAUGAAAGUAAGGGGAAAACAAGUACGCGUCAAACGAGGGACGACUGUAUAUGCAAAAUGUGGACAAAGUGCACAAUAGUGCUUCUUGGAGCAAUUGGCGUUAGCUACAGACAUACAAAACGGAGUGUUCCCGGCAAACUAAAAGCACUUUUAAAACCGAAAAUCACAACACCAAGCCAAGAUUUGGGGGAAUAUGCUGGGAAUACAUUAUUGUGGAGUGGGACCUCUGAGACCUUUUAACAAGUUGACUGAGAGAAAGCGAUACAAAAAAAGCCUUUAAGAUAAUUUGACCUACUGGUUGUAAUUGUUUGGCAUUAACGAUAAUACAAGGUAAGACUGUGCUAAAUUUGUGUUGUAGUUGCAAUGAAUGAUCAUUCAUUGGAACAGUGUUCAGGUUGAACAUUAAUAAUCAUCACAUGGCUCCUUGAUUACUGAGUAUGGACAAGAGACCUUCCAGGAAUAAGUCUUUUUUGUUUUUUUUUGGUUUGUGAGACUUUGUUUUGGCUCCUAGGUGGGCACUGUGCUGGUGGCGGCGUUUCCUCCGUCUCCCUUCCAGUCCAAAUAGGAAAAGAAAGCGCUGGCGCCGUAUGCCACCGUCACCACGGCACCAAAAAACUGUAUGGGCACACAAGCAAAGAUGACCUGGAAGUGACGGUGAGGCAAAGAACCUCGACCCACUGGAAACGGCUCCGCCCACCAGCUGAGAACCACUGCUCUGCAGUAAAACCAGUCUCUCUUUCUACCUCCCCAACCGUCACUCCCGUACCGUGAGAGGCCACGGCACUGCGGUGAGUCUCCUCUGGGCGCCGAAGAGGAUCAAGAAGAACAGGAUGGUGGUGAGAACCCAGAAGGUGACAGCCACAAACAGUACCCAGCCAUUGGCCGGCGCCCACAUGUAAGGAGAGCUGGCUAUCAGCGCCCAAUGGAGCAGCCCCAAACCCUAGACAGCUCAGUACAAGAGGAGACUCAUGUCCACAAACACAGUCGUGACUCCCUUCACGUCGUUGAGCCUAUCCGAGUCACAGUCCAUCAGGAGCUUUCUCACACCGGUCCGUGCAGGUGUAAAGGUGAGCUUGACACACACCUUCUGGCGUGGACAUAUUUCACCGCUGCAACAGAGAAGGUGGCUUUAUAGGCGCUGCCAAUGUAGCUUAGCUGCAGGGAUGUAGUGAGGAGUCGUGGAGUCAGUACUUACUUCAUCCGGACUCCCUUGGGAGACACAUGGCCCCCUCAAUGGUGAAAGCAAAGUUCUUCAGUGGCACCGGGAGAGGGUUGGUGAAGGAGAUAGGACCUGUUAAUGGUAGCAGCUUGGCUGUGAAUCUACAGAAAGACAGAAAGUGAACUGAGCCCUCUGACUGGCGACCAGUCCAGGGUAUUAUUAUUAUUGUAAUAUCAUAAUUGCAAAUUGUCUCUGGGGAGCGGUGUGUGUGAGUCCCAGGAUGCAGACACGGGAACAGUUCAAAGGACUAAUGGAACUACCACGUGAGCUGGACGGACUACUGGGCUGCAGGACGGCCGGAUCGGUUGGAGUGGCGUGGCAGGCUACAGUAGACGGAGGACAAAGGUCGAGGGAUGGGAAUCGACAACCCCUGUGUUUCCUACCUGUGAUAGAACCUGCGGAUCCAGGAUCGGACUACACAGCCACCAAAGGACCUACCAGUGGUGGACAGCCACUCCACCAUCACUCAUGUUUAACAACUGCCUGUUGGAAAAAUGAGGGCAGCAUCUGCAUGCGACUCACCUUUGCAUUACGCCCUUCGUCAUUUGUCAUGAUAGUUAAAACUGUUGUACACAGCCGUUUUUAUUCUGCCCUCUUCCUGUUCCAACCAUGCAAGCUUCACCCGACACACCCCACAUGCACGCGACAAAAGGAUAGUUAAAAUACAAAAGCAAUGUUUGGAAAAGUGUAUGAUUCACUUGCCGGUUCAACAGGAUUAGAGAAACCAGCAGAACGUCUCUUUUCAAAUCCUUUUGUUCUCGAAUGUCUCUUUUUUGACGUGCACGAUAUUUCAUGUCUAGAGGGCUCUAAUAAUGUUAAAAGCUGUAUUUAGAAGGUCGUAAACAGGUUUUCUAUGCUUCUAUGCAAGGAAUCCUACUUUGCAGAAAUUUACUCAUCACGGUCGCAUUUGGAACCAAUUAACCUCCAUAAAAAUGAGGGAUGGCGAGUACACUAUUUUCACGUGGUUGUUUUUACUGUUGCUCGGCACGUUGUCAUUAAUGCAAUUAAACAGGAAAGCUAAAAAAUAAAAAAACAGCAAAAAUUGCGCGAAAACAGCAGUUACUUAAUGAAAAUAAAGACGAAAUAUUAGCAGUAAUAUUCAGAGAAAAAAAAAUGUCACUUGAAAAAAAAAAAAUUUCCAUGAACAAAUUUGUAAUGUUAUGAGGGAAAAAAUGUAUUCUACAAGCAUAAAGUUGAAAUAUUAAACAAAAAAUACAUUAUUUUUUUAAAGGUCUGAUAUUAUAAUCGACGAACAAAAUUUCUGAAUUUACAAUUUUAGGAAAUAUUACGUUGGGAAUAUGUAAUAUUAUGACAAUAGAGUUAUAAUAUUAAGAAGAAAAUAUUUGUUAAAAUAAUUUUACAAAAAAGCAAAAAUGGAAAACAUCAGCAAAAAAGUGUACAGUUAGCAGAAAAAGUGAAUAGCGGAACCUUGGUUAGCAUAAUUAAUCUGUUCCAGAAGGUCCAACUUGAACCAAAACAGACGUAAAAGAGAAAAAAAGUGUAACGUAAGCAGAAAAAGUGAAUACAACAGAACCUUGGUUAGCAUAAUUAAUCUGUUCCAGAAGGUCCAACUUUUCCCAUAAGGAAAUCAUGUAAACCAAUUAAUCCUUUCCAGAAAACCUAAAAUGUUAACACAAAACACAUUUUUGUAGUUUUACAAUUAUUUUUUCAAGCAUAAAACAACUACAAAAUGCAUAUAAAUGCAUAUAAAUGAUGAAUUAAAGGGAUAAUUGAACAUUUAAGGCUACUUUUACCUUCACUGAAGACGUGAUUCUUGACGUGACUGACAACAGGAAGGUGAUGGUGGUUGAUCUCGCUGCCACAUCAUGUCUUUGGGAACAGUCACAUCUUUGAGGUCAAAGUAACCUCAUAAUGUUCAUUUGUCCCUUGCAUUCCUCAUUUAUAUGCAUUUAGUUUGAUGCAUGUAAAACUAUAAUUGUAUAACGAUGAAAGUGUUUUGUGUAAACAUUUCUGAGUCAACUGCUGAUGACAUCAUAAAACGUAACUUCCACUUCCGGUUGCCAUUUUGUUUGGCUAGCUAAUAGGAUGCUAACAAGGAGGGGCGUUUUGUAGUUUCAAAAAAUAGAUAAAGAACACAAUUGGAGUCAUGCAGUCUAUUAAUAACACGACAAGACGCGCAAGACACUCACAUUGUACGCCAACCGGAGGAUGCACGCAAACUGAGGCAAAACUGUGCUGUAAAUUUUUGACGUUAACUGAAAAACACGCUAACCGGGGCGGAUGCUAACCGAGUUUCCAAUGUAUUUAUGUUGCUGUUGUUUCAUGCUCUAUGGAAGAACUGAAAGAAAAAAAUAUCCCAAUGGUGAGUCAUAAUUAUGAGAUAAUAGUCGAAAUUAUGAGGAAAAAGUUAUAAUAAUGACAAAAAGGUCGAAACUAUGAGAUACAAACUGCGCAUGUGCCGAGUGCCAUGUGACGAAGGCUCCAGCGAAGGCGGCACAUGCGCAGUUUGCAUCUCGUAAUUAUGAUUUUUAAUCUCAUAAUUUUUUACUUUUUAUCUCAGAAUUAUGAUUAUUUUUCUUAUAAUUUCGACUUUAUCUCAUGAUUAAGACAUUUAUCUUGUAAUUUCGACUUUUUAUCUCAUUACUUUCUGAUCCUCAUAAUUGCUACUUUUAAUUUCAUAAUUCUGACUUUCUUUUCUCAUAAUUCCCACUUUUUAUCUCAUAAUUUAGACUUUUUAUGUCAUAAUUACAAUUUACUGGUGGGAUAUUUUUUUUCCCUUCAGUGGCAGAAGUGGGCUUCCAUAGCGCUGCUUAGCAAUAAUGAGGAUGUUAACUAAACUACAACGCAUGCCGAGGUUCCACUGUGCUAAUAACACAGUACAAUACUACAAAACAAGUCUUUCUUUAAAUCUGCAUAGCUUCCUAGCAUAUGUGCAUGCCGCAUGGCUUGGUUUACGGAAUGUCAAAUAUCGAAGUGGCAUCCUCUUUCAGUAUGUGGCCCUGGCCGACACCUCUGAUGUAUGCAAUCUACAAUAACCACGUUGCUGAACUGCUAAAGCAAUCAAUAGAGACACUUGCCACACUUAAUCCCAACUUCUAAAAGUUAACUAACAUUCAUGAUAGUGGGGAAAAAUUUAAUUAUGUAAAAAAACAAAAGACACUAGAAGAUAUGGAUGGCAUACUGUAUUAAUUGAUGAACAAGCUAGACAUGUAAGAUUCCACUCACUAUAUGAGCCAUCAUGAGCAUAGAUGGGAUGCUCCUGAUAAAAGACAGGUCCGUGCUGCUGCUCACGUUGGCAGGCGCUUUGGGGGGCUGGUUUCUGGGGUAACCUUGGAUGGGAAGUCAUGGUCGUGUAUAGUAAAUGUACUUGAAAAAAUCCUUGUGAGGAAAAAGAGUUUGCAUUGCAACGAGAAACACUGACGAUGCCCAGAAGUGGUGGUAAUGAGGGUUAAUGAUUACAGUUCAUCCAAUAGCGUAAUUCCAGCUGGAAAACCUUAACAAUUAAGCAAAUAAUAAAAGCAAAUAUGAGGCAGAUCAAAAAACCGGCACAUAAAACCCCCAUAAUGGCACGAUGCAGUGCAAAUUCCAAGGUUACGCGCACAGUCUGCGGCAUCUUCUCUGUCUGCUUCUCCCAACGUCUCACCACUCUGGAAUAUGUUUGAAAAGUGGGAGGAGGCCAGCAUUACAAAGGGCAAAACAGCGUCACCAUGCAAGACAAACAGUCAAGAAUGAGGAAGUAGCCGACAAUUUUCCUGAAAAUGAAACUUAAAAGUUUCAAUGACUGUGUUUAAAAAAAACAACAAAAAAAAACAAGUCACAGUUCAACUCAUCAGAUUUGUUUUCCAAAUAACAAAAUGUGUUCUAGCUGAAAACUUCAUCUUCAGCUAGAAAUACAAGUACAAAUACAAAAUACAACCUGUCGAUCUGCCUUAAACACUAUUAACACUUAAAGGAAAACUGCACCUUUUUUGGAAUUUUGCCCAUCAGCUACAAUCCUGAUGGGAAACAUGAACACAUACUUUCUGUGUGUUCUAAAGCGGGGUCCCCAACCACUGGGACGCCUAAAAAAAAAUACACUUAAAUAAAUACAUCGAAUUUUAUGUAAAUACAUAUCACUUUUGGAAAUAUGGGCCUUUAUUUCAUAAAAAAAAAUAAUAUGCAGUUACAAAUCCCAUAGUUUAUGCAUGUACAGUGUUCCCUCGUUUAUUGUGUGGUAUAGGUUCCCAAAAUAGCCCGCAAUAAGUGAAAUCCGCAAAGUAGCCAACUAUAUUUUUGUACAAUGAUUAUAUAUGUUUUCAGGCUGUAAAACCCGUCACCAUACACUUGAUACACUUUUCUCAGACAGGCAUUAACAUUUUAGCACAUUUCUCUCUCGUUUAAACACUCUGAGUUCAAAUUUUGUUUUCAUUUUAAUGAUGAUCUUACGAGAUUGGAGACAAGAAAUUAAGUGACUCACGUAUAUUUCACUCCUGUGAUCGUGGCUCGUCUUGAUUCAUUUACAGUAUUCCGGGCGCCCUACAGCCGCGUGACUUCUGCCUUCAUUAAGCGUGUAUGAUGGCUAGCAACAGGAAACAGGCAGUCCUGCAUGAAGCAGAUUGAUUGACAAUGGCCUGCAGCCAACUGUUGAAGUGGACACGUCUUCAACUCUCACAUGAGUAUACAACACCCCCUACUGGUAGUGGUCGUAAAAAGUAGGCGGCGGCGGCGGCGGCUCUCGCAAAGUCGGCCAUGAUUGGUGAUAGCUCUAGCUGUGUUGCUGUUGUCGAUGGAAGUCGCGUUCGUUUCUGUGUUGCUAUGUGAAAUCAACGCGCCCAGGAAGGAAGUUCCGGUCAUGCUUAAAAUAACAAAACUAGUGCAAAAUAGUGUACCCGCACGACAUGGUCACAGCAUGUAUAUGCUGUAAAAUCCCAUUACAUUGCAAUAUUGGCUGCCUUGUGCCAGCGCUUUUUCAAUAUUUAGAAAGCACAAAAAAGAGAAAGACGUGCAAAAUUCCCCCCAAAAAUGCAUUUUUCCUGAGAUCAUAAUUAUUUUUUCUAGAACAUUAGCAACAAUUGCAUUCAUUACAAUGAUGAACAGUUUGGCUUAGCCAGAGUAAGUCUGACAUGAAUAGCUAUAGCAUUGCACUGCCAAAAAAUGUAACUCUUAUGAGCUAUUUUUAUUGUCAUUGUUAUAUUUGUCCAAACAAUGGGACCUUUAGUUGUAUAGGCAUUGAAAUGAACAAGAAACUGAAGAAACAAGGGUGGUCUAAUAUUUAUUUCCAUGACUGUACAUGAGCCCUUGCUGGAAAAAAAGUUGAUUUUAUUUAAAUCUACCAGCUUUCAGGCCACUGUAGUUGUUGCAUGUGUUGUAAUGUGAUUAGCAUGGCGCACGUCUCAUUUACAUUACUCACUGACAUACACAAGCUUGUCUCUUGUCUUGGUUACACUUUUUCAUGAGCAUCUCCAACGUGUCAAAUCAAAACCAACAACUGAGAUCAGAGACCUUUAUUCAUAAAAGAAUGCUGUGUAAAUAUUUCAUGUACACAAUCGCGUAAUAGUGCACACAUUUUAGUAUUAAAUCGGUUUAACAAAUACAUUUUGAUAAAACACAAUAUGCGAUUGGAGAUAAGUGCUGCUCCUCCUCAUUGAGAGGAGCCACAUGAGGUGGCUCGGGCAUCUGGUCAGGAUGCCUCCCGGAUGCCUCCCUGGGGAGGUGUUCAGGGCAUGUCCGACCGGCAGGAGGCCUUGUGGAAGA